AUUGAACGCUGGCGGCAGGCCUAACACAUGCAAGUCGAACGAGUGGCGGACGGGUGAGAAAUGUGUGGGAGACUGACCGAGGGGGGGGGAUAACUACUGGAGACAGUAGCGAAAAUCGCGCACCACAGGAUGUGUGCAGAGGGGAUUAGCUUGUAGGUGAGGUAAAGGCUCACCUAGGCGACGAUCCCUAGCGGGUCUGUGAGGAUGACCAGCAACACUGGAACUGAGACACGGUCCAGACUCCUACGGGAGGCAGCAGUGGGGAAUAUUGCACAAUGGGCGCAAGCCUGAUGCAGCCAUGCCGCGUGUAUGAAGAAGGCCUUCGGGUUGUAAAGUACUUUCAGCGAGGAGGCGUUACCCGCAGAAGAAGCACCGGCUAACUCCGUGCCAGCAGCCGUGGUAAUUC
rnacentral:rRNA from 1 species